rnacentral:rRNA from 1 species
UACGUAGGUGGCAAGCGUUGUCCGGAUUUAUUGGGUUUAAAGGGUGCGUAGGCGGUGACUUAAGUCAGUUGUGAAAUACGGCAGCUUAACUGUCGAGGUGCAAUUGAUACUGGGACACUUGAGUACUGAUGAGGUAAGCGGAAUGGACGGUGUAGCGGUGAAAUGCUUAGAUAUCGUCCAGAACACCGAUAGCGAAGGCAGCUUACUAAGGAGUAACUGACGCUGAGGCACGAAAAGUGUGGGGAUCAAACAGG